UACGAAGGGGGGCUAGCGUUGCUCGGAAUUACUGGGCGUAAAGCGCACGUAGGCGGUCUUUUAAGUCGGGGGUGAAAUCCUGGAGCUCAACUCCAGAACUGCCUUCGAUACUGGAAGACUUGAGUCCGGGAGAGGUGAGUGGAACUGCGAGUGUAGAGGUGAAAUUCGUAGAUAUUCGCAAGAACACCAGUGGCGAAGGCGGCUCACUGGCCCGGUACUGACGCUGAGGUGCGAAAGCGUGGGGAGCAA
rnacentral:rRNA from 1 species